GACGAACCGAGCGAACGUUGUUCGGAAUAACUGGGCUUAAAGGGCGCGUAGGCGGGCGUUCAAGUUCGGGGUGAAAUCCUCCGGCUCAACCGGAGAACUGCCCCGAAUACUGGGCGUCUUGAGGGAGGUAGGGGCACGCGGAACUGUGGGUGGAGCGGUGAAAUGCGUUGAUAUCCACAGGAACUCCGGUGGCGAAGGCGGCGUGCUGGACCUUCACUGACGCUGAGGCGCGAAAGCCAGGGGAGCAAACGGG
rnacentral:rRNA from 1 species